rnacentral:rRNA from 1 species
UACGUAGGGCGCGAGCGUUGUCCGGAUUUAUUGGGCGUAAAGAGCUCGUAGGCGGCUUGUUACGUCGUUCGUGAAAACUUGGGGCUCAACCCCAAGCUUGCGGUCGAUACGGGCAGGCUAGAGUUCGGUAGGGGAGACUGGAAUUCCUGGUGUAGCGGUGAAAUGCGCAGAUAUCAGGAGGAACACCGGUGGCGAAGGCGGGUCUCUGGGCCGAUACUGACGCUGAGGAGCGAAAGCGUGGGGAGCGAACAGG